AUCGUUGAUUCGGCCAAAUCGACUCACCAUUAACACUUCUUAACAGCUCUCCUAAUAGCGUAACUAACAAUUGUUUUCGUCCUUAAACCAACGACAACGGCUGUUAGGCCAUGUUUUGUAAUGGUUGUUAGGAGCGCUAUUAAGAAGUGUUAACGGUGAGUCGAUUUGGCCGAGUCAACGAU
rnacentral:pre_miRNA from 1 species